GGCAGUGUGGCCUAGUGGAUAGGGCACAUGCCUGGUACUCAGGAGACCUGAUUACUAUUCCUAGCUCUGCCU
rnacentral:tRNA from 1 species